rnacentral:rRNA from 1 species
AUUCCAGCUCCAAUAGCGUAUAUUUAAGUUGUUGCAGUUAAAAAGCUCGUAGUUGGAUUUCGGGCCCAGGUGACCGGUCCGCCGUUUCGGUGUGCACUGGUUAGCUCGGUCUUUCUGCCGGGGACACGCUCCGUCUUAAUUGCCGGACGUGGAGUCGGCGAUGUUACUUUGAAAAAAUUAGAGUGUUCAAAGCAGGCUUACGCUCUGAAUACUAUAGCAUGGAAUAACACGAUAGGACUCCGAGCCUAUUUUGUUGGUCUUCGGGACCGGAGUAAUGAUUAAGAGGGGCAGUUGGGGGCAUUCGUAUUACGGUGUCAGAGGUGAAAUUCUUGGAUUUCCGUAAGACGAGCUUCUGCGAAAGCAUUUGCCAAGGAUGUUUUCAUCG